GGAUCAAUGAUGAGACCUUUUACUGUCUUGAAGAGAGAUGGUGGCUUAAAAAUUGCAUCCAACAGGGUUAGACUGAGGCCC